rnacentral:rRNA from 1 species
GGGACGAACGCUGGCGGCGUGCCUAACACAUGCAAGUUGAGCGACGAACCAGGGCUUGCCCUGGGGCAAAGCAGCGAACGGGUGAGUAACACGUGGGUAACCUGCCCCGAUUACCGGGACAACCCGAGGAAACUCGGGCUAAUACCGGAUGUGCUCGUCAGACUCAAGUCUGACGCGUAAAGGAAGCUUCGGCCUCCGAAUCGGGAGGGCCCGCGGCCCAUUAGCUAGUUGGUGAGGUAACGGCUCACCAAGGCAUCGAUGGGUAGCUGGUCUGAGAGGACGAUCAGCCACACUGGGACUGAGACACGGCCCAGACUCCUACGGAGGCAGCAGUGGGAAUCUUGCGCAAUGCGCGAAAGCGUGACGCAGCAACGCCGCGUGGGGGAAGACGGCCUUCGGGUUGUAAA